GCUGACACAUACCUGCCAAUCUCCGGCAGACCCUCCCUCCCAGACCCUCCCACCUCCUGGACAGCAUCCAUGUUGAAGCUGCCUUCAACAUGGAUGCUGUCCAGGAAGUAGGAGGGUCUUGGAGGGAGGGUCUGCUGGAGAUUGGCCGGGAUGUGUCAG
rnacentral:miRNA from 1 species